rnacentral:rRNA from 1 species
UACGGGGGGGGCAAGCGUUGUUCGGAAUUACUGGGCGUAAAGGGCGCGUAGGCGGCCUUCUAAGUCGAACGUGAAAUCCCCGGGCUCAACCCGGGAACUGCGUCCGAUACUGGAAGGCUUGAAUCCGGGAGAGGGAUGCGGAAUUCCAGGUGUAGCGGUGAAAUGCGUAGAUAUCUGGAGGAACACCGGUGGCGAAGGCGCUCUGCUGGACCAUAACUGACACUCAGGGACGAAAGCUAGGGGAGCGAAUG